AGCUGAUAAGUCCAGCUUUGCGAAAGAGUCAGCAAUGAAAAUAGAUGCACAACCUUCAAGUAGUCUUGGUCUUAUGUUCAACUAAGAAGUAAUCUUCCAUCACCAACAAAAUCAGUUCAAUUUUUGAAAUUUCUGAGAGUGUUGGUGUUGUUCUGAAGUUCUGCUAGAUACUUGUUAUUGGAAUGGAAGUACUUGGCCGAUCGAAAAUAAAAUAAAAUGGAAGUACUUGAAGUUGAUGUACCUGAUGUAAUGUUGGCAAUGCAUGUUUGCAUCUAGCAAUCAAUCUAAAUCAUAAAUUAUCUUAUUGUAAAUCUUAUGUGUUCCCUCACUAGUUCAAUUGCACUGAAUAAGUUGUCUUAGAUUGAAUUUUAAAAUUGUGAAUAUAUGG